rnacentral:rRNA from 1 species
GAUGAACGCUAGCGGCAGGCCUAAUACAUGCAAGUCAAGGGGAUAGCAAUAUCACCGGCGGACGGGUGCGUAACGCGUACACAACGUGCCCAAGGGCGGAGGAAAGCGGCGGGAAACUGCCGGUAAUACUCCAUGGUGUUGUUGAGUGGCAUCACUUAACAACUAAAGUACAAGCGCCCUUGGAUCGGUGUGCGUUCGAUUAGCUAGUUGGCGGGGUAACGGCCCACCAAGGCUUCGAUCGAUAGGGGGUGUGAGAGCAUGACCCCCCACACGGGUACGUGAGACACGGACCCGACUCCUACGGGAGGCAGCAGUAAGGAAUAUUGGACGAAUAGGGCGGAAA